rnacentral:rRNA from 1 species
AUUGAACGCUGGCGGAAUGCUUUACACAUGCAAGUCGAACGGCAGCACGGACUUCGGUCUGGUGGCGAGUGGCGAACGGGUGAGUAACAUAUCGGAACGUAUCCAAUAAUGGGGGAUAACGAGUCGAAAGAUUCGCUAAUACCGCAUACGCCCUACGGGGGAAAGCUGGGGACCUUCGGGCCUGGCGUUAAUGGAGCGGCCGAUAUCUGAUUAGCUAGUUGGUGAGGUAAAGGCUCACCAAGGCGACGAUCAGUAGCUGGUCUGAGAGGACGACCAGCCACACUGGAACUGAGACACGGUCCAGACUCCUACGGGAGGCAGCAGUGGGGAAUUUUGGACAAUGGGCGCAAGCCUGAUCCAGCCAUUCCGCGUGAGUGAAGAAGGCCUUCGGGUUGUAAAGCUCUUUCGCAAGAGAAGAAAACUUAGCCACUAACAUUGGUUGAGGUUGACGGUACCUUGAUAAUAAGCACCGGCUAACUACGUGCCAGCCGCCGCGGUAA